CUUUGAUGCCAGAAACGUCAGCUAUGCUGCGGACGCUCGGCUCGGAUCGAGUGCCGAGUGCUCCGGCCGCGGAGAUCGCGAAGGCAGGAGGGCAGCAACAAAAGUAUAAAAUGACCGCGCUGCCGUUAGUUCUUUGAAGCCAUCCCCAGUGAACCGCUCUUCUAAGCAAUCUUUAGCCAGGGCUCCCAGGACGUGCCGUUCCUACAAGAAUCGAGGCUGCUGUAGCUGGAACGCUCUUAUCAGGGAGGUCUGACGCAAACAUCGGGACAAAAAGGGUCUUAAAGAGCAAAGAAGCACAGCAGUUUAAGGAGGGUGCAUGCGAGGAUAACCUGAUGUAAGGAGGGAGCGUGGCUCGGACCAGCACGACCGUUUGCUUCACCUCCAUUCUGCCAGACAGUAGGAAAAAGAAGAAGGAAGCUUCCUGUCAGAAUAAGUGAUGACAUUCUGCAAUGUUAGAGAAUCCAUACUUGUUUAACAAUAUAAACUGUGACGCUUCUGUUCAGUAGAUAUUUGGUGGAAGUGUAUAUUCUGGUCCAAGUUGAGACUUGACUACAAUAAAGGCUUCUUCUCUUC